AUUGAACGCUGGCGGCAUGCUUUACACAUGCAAGUCGAACGGUAGAGGGGGCAACCCUUGAGAGUGGCGAACGGGUGAGUAAUGCAUCGGAACGUGCCCGAUCGUGGGGGGAUAACGCAGCGAAAGCUGCGCUAAUACCGCAUACGAUCUGAGGAUGAAAGCGGGGGACCGUAAGGCCUCGCGCGAUCGGAGCGGCCGAUGUCAGAUUAGGUAGUUGGUGGGGUAAAGGCUCACCAAGCCGACGAUCUGUAGCUGGUCUGGGAGGACGACCAGCCACACUGGGACUGAGUACACGGCCCAGACUCCUACGGGAGGCAGCAGUGGGGAAUUUUGGACAAUGGGCGCAAGCCUGAUCCAGCAAUGCCGCGUGCAGGAAGAAGGCCUUCGGGUUGUAAACUGCUUUUGUACGGAGCGAAAAGGCCCUCUCUAAUACAGGGGGUUCAUGACGGUACCGUAAGAAUAAGCACCGGCUAACUACGUG
rnacentral:rRNA from 1 species